rnacentral:rRNA from 1 species
UACGAAGGGGGCUAGCGUUGUUCGGAAUUACUGGGCGUAAAGCGCACGUAGGCGGAUAUUUAAGUCAGGGGUGAAAUCCCAGAGCUCAACUCUGGAACUGCCUUUGAUACUGGGUAUCUUGAGUAUGGAAGAGGUAAGUGGAAUUGCGAGUGUAGAGGUGAAAUUCGUAGAUAUUCGCAGGAACACCAGUGGCGAAGGCGGCUUACUGGUCCAUAACUGACGCUGAAUCGCGAAAGCUAGGGGAGCAAACGGG